rnacentral:rRNA from 1 species
UAAGGGACACUCGGUUCCUUAUAGAUGUUACCGGCGGACGGGUCGAGUAACACGUGGGUAACCUGCCCAUAAGACUGGGAUAACUCCGGGAAACCGGGGCUAAUACCGGAUAACAUUUUGAACCGCAUGGUUCGAAAUUGAAAGGCGGCUUCGGCUGUCACUUAUGGAUGGACCCGCGUCGCAUUAGCUAGUUGGUGAGGUAACGGCUCACCAAGGCAACGAUGCGUAGCCGACCUGAGAGGGUGAUCGGCCACACUGGGACUGAGACACGGCCCAGACUCCUACGGGAGGCAGCAGUAGGGAAUCUUCCGCAAUGGACGAAAGUCUGACGGAGCAACGCCGCGUGAGUGAUGAAGGCUUUCGGGUCGUAAAACUCUGUUGUUAGGGAAGAACAAGUGCUAGUUGAAUAAGCUGGCACCUUGACGGUACCUAACCAGAAAGCCACGGCUAACUACGUGCCAGCAGCCGCGGUAAAUACGUAGGUGGCAAAGCGUUUAUCCCGGAAUUUAUUGGGGCGUAAAAGCGCGCGCAGGUGGUUUUCUUAAAGUCUGAUGGUGAAAAGCCCCACGGCUUCACCCGUGGGAGGGGUCAUUGGAAAACUGGGAAAACUUGAGUGCAAAAAAGGAAAGUUGGAUUCCAUGUGGUACCGGUGGAAAUGGCGUAAAGAUAAUGAAGAACCACAGUGGCCAAAGCGGAAUUUUUUGGUCUGUAACUGACACUGAAGGCCCGAAACCUUGGGGAACCAAACAGAUUAAAAUCCCCUGUUAUUCCCCCCCUAAACAAGAAGGCUAAUGGUAGAAGGGUUCCCCCCCUUUAUGCUUAAAUAAUCCAUUAACCCCUCCCCCCGGGGAGUACGGCCCAAGGUUGAAACUCAAAGAAAUUGGACGGGGCCCCCCAACCGGGGAACUAUUUGUUUUAUUUAAAGACCCCCAAAAACCUUACCGGUCUGG